rfam:Pseudomonas resinovorans NBRC 106553 DNA, complete geonome.
CCCAAUGGCAGAUCGCGUGGGGAGAUCCUCGCGAUCUGCCGGUCUCUGGACCCGGUCUGUCAACCCCGCGCGGUCUGCCGCCCUU